GGAGCCCAAGUUUUCUGCAUCAUCUGCAUACGUCGUAGGCCCUGCUAAGGUUGAGAGGGGUUUAUACUCCUCCGUGGGUUCAAAUCCCACCGGCUCCG
rnacentral:tRNA from 1 species